rnacentral:tRNA from 1 species
GCCUGGCUGGCUCAGUUGGUAGAGCAUGUGACUCUUGAUCUCAGGGUCAUGAGUUCAAGCCCCACGUUGGGCA